rnacentral:rRNA from 1 species
GACGAACGCUGGCGGCGUGCCUAACACAUGCAAGUUGAGCGACGAACCAGGGCUUGCCCUGGGGCAAAGCAGCGAACGGGUGAGUAACACGUGGGUAACCUACCCCGAUAACCGGGACAACCCGAGGAAACUCGGGCUAAUACCGGAUGUGCUCACUGGACUUCGGUUCAGUGCGUAAAGGAAGCUUCGGCCUCCGUAUCGGGAGGGGCCCGCGGCCCAUUAGUUUGUUGGUGAGGUAACGGCUCACCAAGACCGCGAUGGGUAGCUGGUCUGAGAGGACGAUCAGCCACACUGGGACUGAGACACGGCCCAGACUCCUACGGGAGGCAGCAGUGGGGAAUCUUGCGCAAAGCGCGAAAGCGUGACGCAGCAACGCCGCGUGGGGGAAGAAGGCCUUCGGGUUGUAAACCCCUUUCAGGAGGGACGAAGGUUCGGCGGUGAAUAGCCGUCCGGACUGACGGUACCUCCACAAGAAGCCCCGGCUAACUACGUG